UUAUUAUACAUAAUACAUAGGUAAAAUGCAUGUUUGUUUAUUUUAUUAAUAAAAAUAUCUUAUAUUAUGAUUAUUAGAUUCUAAAUUUAGAUAUCUCUUAAACUAUUAAUUUUGCCUCAGAUAAUAUAAAAUCAGAUAGUGCACUUCGACGACUCGGGCAGAUAUUCUCUCCUGAUAACAGAAAAAUAAUCCAUGGGAGAAACAAAUAAUUUUCACUC